rnacentral:tRNA from 1 species
CCUGGUGGCUCAGAGGUUAAAGCGUCUGCCUACAAUGCGGGAGACCCGGGUUCGAUCCCUGGGUCAGGA